rnacentral:rRNA from 1 species
UUAAGCGACUAAGCGUACACGGUGGAUGCCCUGGCAGUCAGAGGCGAUGAAGGACGUGCUAAUCUGCGAUAAGCGUCGGUAAGGUGAUAUGAACCGUUAUAACCGGCGAUUUCCGAAUGGGGAAACCCAGUGUGAUUCGUCACACUAUCAUUAACUGAAUCCAUAGGUUAAUGAGGCGAACCGGGGGAACUGAAACAUCUAAGUACCCCGAGGAAAAGAAAUCAACCGAGAUUCCCCCAGUAGCGGCGAGCGAACGGGGAGCAGCCCAGAGCCUGAAUCAGUGUGUGUGUUAGUGGAAGCGUCUGGAAAGGCGCGCGAUACAGGGUGACAGCCCCGUACACAAAAAUACACAUAUUGUGAGCUCGAUGAGUAGGGCGGGACACGUGGUAUCCUGUCUGAAUAUGGGGGGACCAUCCUCCAAGGCUAAAUACUCCUGACUGACCGAUAGUGAACCAGUACCGUGAGGGAAAGGCGAAAAGAACCCCGGCGAGGGGAGUGAAAAAGAACCUGAAACCGUGUACGUACAAGCAGUGGGAGCACGCUUAGGCGUGUGACUGCGUACCUUUUGUAUAAUGGGUCAGCGACUUAUAUUCUGUAGCAAGGUUAACCGAAUAGGGGAGCCGAAGGGAAACCGAGUCUUAACUGGGCGUUAAGUUGCAGGGUAUAGACCCGAAACCCGGUGAUCUAGCCAUGGGCAGGUUGAAGGUUGGGUAACACUAACUGGAGGACCGAACCGACUAAUGUUGAAAAAUUAGCGGAUGACUUGUGGCUGGGGGUGAAAGGCCAAUCAAACCGGGAGAUAGCUGGUUCUCCCCGAAAGCUAUUUAGGUAGCGCCUCGUGAAUUCAUCUCCGGGGGUAGAGCACUGUUUCGGCAAGGGGGUCAUCCCGACUUACCAACCCGAUGCAAACUGCGAAUACCGGAGAAUGUUAUCACGGGAGACACACGGCGGGUGCUAACGUCCGUCGUGAAGAGGGAAACAACCCAGACCGCCAGCUAAGGUCCCAAAGUCAUGGUUAAGUGGGAAACGAUGUGGGAAGGCCCAGACAGCCAGGAUGUUGGCUUAGAAGCAGCCAUCAUUUAAAGAAAGCGUAAUAGCUCACUGGUCGAGUCGGCCUGCGCGGAAGAUGUAACGGGGCUAAACCAUGCACCGAAGCUGCGGCAGCGACACUGUGUGUUGUUGGGUAGGGGAGCGUUCUGUAAGCCUGUGAAGGUGUACUGUGAGGUAUGCUGGAGGUAUCAGAAGUGCGAAUGCUGACAUAAGUAACGAUAAAGCGGGUGAAAAGCCCGCUCGCCGGAAGACCAAGGGUUCCUGUCCAACGUUAAUCGGGGCAGGGUGAGUCGACCCCUAAGGCGAGGCCGAAAGGCGUAGUCGAUGGGAAACAGGUUAAUAUUCCUGUACUUGGUGUUACUGCGAAGGGGGGACGGAGAAGGCUAUGUUGGCCGGGCGACGGUUGUCCCGGUUUAAGCGUGUAGGCUGGUUUUCCAGGCAAAUCCGGAAAAUCAAGGCUGAGGCGUGAUGACGAGGCACUACGGUGCUGAAGCAACAAAUGCCCUGCUUCCAGGAAAAGCCUCUAAGCAUCAGGUAACAUCAAAUCGUACCCCAAACCGACACAGGUGGUCAGGUAGAGAAUACCAAGGCGCUUGAGAGAACUCGGGUGAAGGAACUAGGCAAAAUGGUGCCGUAACUUCGGGAGAAGGCACGCUGAUAUGUAGGUGAAGUCCCUCGCGGAUGGAGCUGAAAUCAGUCGAAGAUACCAGCUGGCUGCAACUGUUUAUUAAAAACACAGCACUGUGCAAACACGAAAGUGGACGUAUACGGUGUGACGCCUGCCCGGUGCCGGAAGGUUAAUUGAUGGGGUCAGCGCAAGCGAAGCUCUUGAUCGAAGCCCCGGUAAACGGCGGCCGUAACUAUAACGGUCCUAAGGUAGCGAAAUUCCUUGUCGGGUAAGUUCCGACCUGCACGAAUGGCGUAAUGAUGGCCAGGCUGUCUCCACCCGAGACUCAGUGAAAUUGAACUCGCUGUGAAGAUGCAGUGUACCCGCGGCAAGACGGAAAGACCCCGUGAACCUUUACUAUAGCUUGACACUGAACAUUGAGCCUUGAUGUGUAGGAUAGGUGGGAGGCUUAGAAGUGUGGACGCCAGUCUGCAUGGAGCCGACCUUGAAAUACCACCCUUUAAUGUUUGAUGUUCUAACGUUGACCCGUAAUCCGGGUUGCGGACAGUGUCUGGUGGGUAGUUUGACUGGGGCGGUCUCCUCCUAAAGAGUAACGGAGGAGCACGAAGGUUGGCUAAUCCUGGUCGGACAUCAGGAGGUUAGUGCAAUGGCAUAAGCCAGCUUGACUGCGAGCGUGACGGCGCGAGCAGGUGCGAAAGCAGGUCAUAGUGAUCCGGUGGUUCUGAAUGGAAGGGCCAUCGCUCAACGGAUAAAAGGUACUCCGGGGAUAACAGGCUGAUACCGCCCAAGAGUUCAUAUCGACGGCGGUGUUUGGCACCUCGAUGUCGGCUCAUCACAUCCUGGGGCUGAAGUAGGUCCCAAGGGUAUGGCUGUUCGCCAUUUAAAGUGGUACGCGAGCUGGGUUUAGAACGUCGUGAGACAGUUCGGUCCCUAUCUGCCGUGGGCGCUGGAGAACUGAGGGGGGCUGCUCCUAGUACGAGAGGACCGGAGUGGACGCAUCACUGGUGUUCGGGUUGUCAUGCCAAUGGCACUGCCCGGUAGCUAAAUGCGGAAGAGAUAAGUGCUGAAAGCAUCUAAGCACGAAACUUGCCCCGAGAUGAGUUCUCCCUGACUCCUUGAGAGUCCUGAAGGAACGUUGAAGACGACGACGUUGAUAGGCCGGGUGUGUAAGCGCAGCGAUGCGUUGAGCUAACCGGUACUAAUGAACCGUGAGGCUUAACCU